rnacentral:rRNA from 1 species
AGAGACAGCAGCCGCCGCGGUAAAACGAAGGGGGCUAGCGUUGUUCGGAUUUACUGGGCGUAAAGCGCACGUAGGCGGAAAUUUAAGUCAGGGGUGAAAUCCCGAGGCUCAACCUCGGAACUGCCUUUGAUACUGGGUUUCUUGAGUCCGGAAGAGGUGAGUGGAACUGCGAGUGUAGAGGUGAAAUUCGUAGAUAUUCGCAAGAACACCAGUGGCGAAGGCGGCUCACUGGUCCGGAACUGACGCUGAGGUGCGAAAGCGUGGGGAGCAAACAGGAUUAGAUACCCCUGUAGUCCCUGUCUCUUAUAC